rnacentral:rRNA from 1 species
GACGAACGCUGGCGGCGUGCUUAACACAUGCAAGUCGAACGAAGAGCGAUGGAAGCUUGCUUCUAUCACUCUUAGUGGCGAACGGGUGAGUAACGCGUAAUCAACCUGCCCUUCAGAGGGGGACAACAGUUGGAAACGACUGCUAAUACCGCAUACGAUCUAAUCUCGGCAUCGAGGAUAGAUGAAAGGUGGCCUCUACAUGUAAGCUAUCACUGAAGGAGGGGAUUGCGUCUGAUUAGCUAGUUGGAGGGGUAACGGCCCACCAAGGCGAUGAUCAGUAGCCGGUCGGAGAGGAUGAACGGCCACAUUGGGACUGAGACACGGCCCAGACUCCUACGGGAGGCAGCAGUGGGGAAUCUUCCGCAAUGGACGAAAGUCUGACGGAGCAACGCCGCGUGAGUGAUGACGGCCUUCGGGUUGUAAAGCUCUGUUAAUCGGGACGAAAGGCCUUCUUGCGAAUAGUGAGAAGGAUUGACGGUACCGGAAGAGAAAGCCACGGCUAACUACGUG